rnacentral:rRNA from 1 species
UACGUAGGGUGCAAGCGUUGUCCGGAAUUAUUGGGCGUAAAGAGCUCGUAGGCGGUUUGUCGCGUCUGGUGUGAAAAUCCAGGGCUUAACCCUGGACCUGCAUCGGGUACGGGCAGACUAGAGUGCGGUAGGGGAGAUCGGAAUUCCUGGUGUAGCGGUGAAAUGCGCAGAUAUCAGGAGGAACACCGGUGGCGAAGGCGGGUCUCUGGGUAACAACUGACGCUGAGGAGCGAAAGCGUGGGGAGCGAACAGG